rnacentral:misc_RNA from 1 species
GAUGAAGAACGUAGCGAAAUGCGAUAAGUAAUGUGAAUUGCAGAAUUCAGUGAAUCAUCGAAUCUUUGAACGCACAUUGCGCCCGCCAGUAUUCUGGCGGGCAUGCCUGUCUGAGCGUCAUUUCAACCCUCAUGUCCCUAGGGCGUGGUGUUGGGGAUCGGCCAAAGCCCGCGAGGGACGGCCGGCCCCUAAAUCUAGUGGCGGACCCGUCGUGGCCUCCUCUGCGAAGUAGUGAUAUUCCGCAUCGGAGAGCGAUGAGCCCCUGCCGUUAAACCCCCAACUUUCCAAGGUUGACCUCAGAUCAGGUAGGAAUACCCGCUGAACUUAAGCAUAUCAAUAAGCGGAGGA